CCCUAGUAACGGCGAGUGAAGCGGCAACAGCUCAAAUUUGAAAUCUGGCCCUCGCGGUCCGAGUUGUAAUUUGUAGAGGAUGCUUUUGGUGCGGUGCCUUCCGAGUUCCCUGGAACGGGACGCCAGAGAGGGUGAGAGCCCCGUACGGUUGGACACCUACCCUAUAUAUAGCUCCUUCGACGAGUCGAGUAGUUUGGGAAUGCUGCUCUAAAUGGGAGGUAAAUUUCUUCUAAAGCUAAAUACCGGCCAGAGACCGAUAGCGCACAAGUAGAGUGAUCGAAAGAUGAAAAGCACUUUGAAAAGAGGGUUAAAUAGCACGUGAAAUUGUUGAAAGGGAAGCGUUUGCGACCAGACUUUUCCCAGGCGGAUCAUCCGGUGUUCUCACCGGUGCACUUCGCCUGGUUUAGGCCAGCAUCGGUUCUCUUAGGGGGAUAAAGGCUUGGGGAACGUAGCUCCUUCGGGAGUGUUAUAGCCCCUUGCGUAAUACCCUUCGGGGGACCGAGGAUCGCGCUCUGCAAGGAUGCUGGCGUAAUGGUCGUCAACGACCCGUCUUGAAACACGGACCAAGGAGUCGAACAUUUGUGCGAGUGUUUGGGUUUUAAACCCUCACGCGUAAUGAAAGUGAACGGAGGUGAGAGCCCUUACGGGUGCAUCAUCGACCGAUCCUGAUGUCUUCGGAUGGAUUUGAGUAAGAGCAUAACUGUUCGGACCCGAAAGAUGGUGAACUAUGCGUGGAUAGGGUGAAGCCAGAGGAAACUCUGGUGGAGGCUCGCAGCGGUUCUGACGUGCAAAUCGAUCGUCAAAUCUGCGCAUGGGGGCGAAAGA
rnacentral:rRNA from 1 species